rnacentral:pre_miRNA from 1 species
UAAAUACUUCCUCCGUUCCGAAUUACUUGUCGUAGAAAUGGAUGUAUCUAGAACUAAAAAAUAUCUAGAUACAUCCAUUUCUACGACAAGUAAUUCCGAACGGAGGGAGUACAUA